GACGAACGCUGGCGGCGUGCUUAACACAUGCAAGUCGAACGGAAAGGCCCUGCUUUUGUGGGGUGCUCGAGUGGCGAACGGGUGAGUAACCCGUGAGUAACCUGCCCUUGACUUUGGGAUAUCUUCAGGAAACUGGGGCUAAUACCGGCUAGGAGCUCCUGCUGCAUGGUGGGGGUUGGAAAGUUUCGGCGGUUGGGGAUGGACUCGCGGCUUAUCAGCUUGUUGGUGGGGUAGUGGCUUACCAAGGCUUUGACGGGUAGCCGGCCUGAGAGGGUGACCGGCCACAUUGGGACUGAGAUACGGCCCAGACUCCAACGGGAGGCAGCAGUGGAGAGUAUUGCACAGUGGGCGGAAGCCUGAUGCAGCAACGCCGCGUGCGUGAUGACGGCCUUCGGGUUGUAAACCGCUUUCGCCUGUGACGAAGCGUUAGUGACGGUAAUGGGUAAAGAAGCACCGGCUAACUACGUG
rnacentral:rRNA from 1 species